GAUGAAGACGUAGCGAAAUGCGAUAACUAAUGUGAAUUGCAGAAUUCCGUGAAUCAUCGAGUCUUUGAACGCACAUUGCGCCCCCUGGUAUUCCGGGGGACAUGCCUGUCCGAGCGUCAUUGCUGCCCAUCAAGCACGGCUUGUGUGUUGGGUCCCGUCCCCCUCUCCCGGGGGACGGACCCGAAAGGCAGCGGCGGCACCGCGUCCGGUCCUCGAGCGUAUGGGGCUUUGUCACCCGCUCUUGUAGGCCCGGCCGGCGCUUGCCGACACCCAACCAUUUUUUUCAGGUUGACCUCGGAUCAGGUAGGGAUACCCGCUGAACUUAAGCAUAUCAAUAAGCGGAGGA
rnacentral:misc_RNA from 1 species